AUUUGAAAUCUCCGAUGCCUGCAUCGGCGAGUUGUAGUUGCGAGAAGCACUUUCUAGGUGGAUCGGCGGUGCCUAAGUUGCUUGGAACAGCAGGUCGCAGAGGGUGACAACCCCGUCUGUGGCGCCGCCGGCCGCUGACGAUGUGCUUUCGAAGAGUCGGGUUGUUUGGGAAUGCAGCCCAAAAUGGGUGGUAAACUCCAUCUAAAGCUAAAUACUGGCGUGAGACCGAUAGCGAACAAGUACCGUGAGGGAAAGAUGAAAAGAACUUUGAAAAGAGAGUUAAAAAGUACGUGAAACCGUUGAAAUGGAAACGAAUGGGCUCAGCAAUGCGCCGUUUGAGAUUCAGCCGGUGGGUGGGAUCGACGGCGGGUUUGCGGAUCUGAAUGGACCGCGGCCCGGUGCUCGUUUCUCCCCACCGUCGCACUUCUCUUGGGCGCGCGUCAACGUCGGUUGGGACUGGGUCUGAAAGGUGCCGGGAAGGUAGGUGUGGCCCUCCGGGUCCGUGCUGUUACAGCCCGGUUCUCUCAUGGCUCGGGCCCGACCGAGGAGUUGCAGGGCAUGCCUCCUGUGGCUAGGGUCCCCUCCCUCCGGCCGGCUGUCCAAUGCGGUGGACUGCUUGCAGUGCUCGGCGAACGCUGCCGGUCGUUGGGGUGGUGAUCUCGUACCAUGCCCUUAGGAUGUUGGCGGUCAUAUGGGUGCAUCCGACCCGUCUUGAAACACGGACCAAGGAGUCUAACAUGUGCGCGAGUCUUAGGGUGAGUGAAACCCCGAGGCGCAAUGAAAGUGAAGGCGGCCCCGGCCGCUGAGGUGAGAUCCGCUGUUGUGGCGGCGCAUCAUCGACCGACCUAUUCUACUCUUAGGAAGGUUUGAGUAAGA
rnacentral:rRNA from 1 species